AUGUUCUGUUUCCCAGGGGUCUGUGCGCUCGAUGUCUCGAAUCAACAAGACCGCACAGGCGACCAAACGAAGCUUAGAAAGAAUUUCAAAUAAUUUUUGAUCCGACGCGCGCAUGGAUAUCCAAUCAGAAAGCAGCAAAUGGAAGCCAGCGACGUGCAACCCAAAAGUCCCGCAAAAGUCCCACAAAUUGUACAACAUAUCGGAUGAGGUCAGCGAGUCCUGCCCGGAGUUAUUUUAAAUACAGACUGCGACUUGGAAAAUAAAACACAGUAACCUAA